UUGAUGAGGAAAUUACAACCAAAAAACUACGGAGUAGAAAAGUUGAAAAGUUACAUUAAACAAAUUAAACACUGCGGAAUGAAAUAAUAUGACAAAUGAGCAAAACGAACUCUGAAAACAGAUGCAAUUACUUUCUCGCAGGAUAUAUAAGGAAAUAUGAUUAAGCAUUUAUUCAGCCAUUGAUGGUGAACUUAGAAGCACAAAAUUAUGAAGUACAAAAAUUGAAUAGGUACAUUAAAGAUAUUUUCCAGCGUGGAAUGAAAUACUAGGAUAAAUAACAAACACGUAUUCUGAAAACAGAUGCAAUUACUUUCUCGCAGGAUAUAUCUGGAAAUAUGUUUAAGAAUUUAUUCAGACGUUGAUGAGGGAAUUACAAUAAAAAAAUUAUGGAGUAGAAAAGUUGAAUAGCUACAUUACAGAAAUUGAACCGUGUGGAAUGAAAUACUAGGAUAAAUAACAGAAACGUACUUCGAAAACAGAUGCAAUUACUUUCUCGCAGGAUAUAUA